UACGUAGGGUGUGAGCGUUGUCCGGAAUUAUUGGGCGUAAAGGGCUCGUAGGCGGUUUGUCGCGUCGGGAGUGAAAACGCCGGGCUUAACUCGGUGCUUGCUUUCGAUACGGGCAGACUAGAGGCAUGCAGGGGAGAACGGAAUUCCUGGUGUAGCGGUGAAAUGCGCAGAUAUCAGGAGGAACACCGGUGGCGAAGGCGGUUCUCUGGGCAUGUCCCGACGCUGAGGAGCGAAAGCGUGGGGAGCGAACAGG
rnacentral:rRNA from 1 species